rnacentral:rRNA from 1 species
UUCUUUAAGAUAAUUAUUUAAAGUAAUACCUGCUCAAUGAUAUUAAAUAGCCGCAGAAUAUCUGUGCUAAGGUAGCAUAAUAAUUUGCUUUUUAAAUGAAAGAUAGAAUGAAAGGUUAAACGACUAAGUAUUUUCCCAUUCUAAAUAAUAAAAUUGAUAAUAAUGUAAAAACUCAUUUAUACCCACAGAAAGACGACAAGACCCCGAUAAACUCAUCAUUUAGUUGGGGCAACACAGUAAAAAAACCUUACACACACAAAAAUAACCUUACAUAAAUAACUAUUAGUUACUACGGGGAUAACAGCGCUAUUUCUUUUUAAAGCUCUUAUUUCAAAAGAAGUUUACGACCUCGAUGUUGAAUUAAUUUAACUAGCAGGAGCAGUCCCUAUGCAGUUAGCCUGUUCGUCUAAUAAUAAAUU